rnacentral:lncRNA from 1 species
CACACUCCCGCGGCCCAAUCUCUACAGAAAAAUAUGAAGCAUUUCCGCUUCCCCAACCACCAUUUUUCUUCUUUCUUUCUUUUAUUCUUGAGUAGCAUUUCUGCUUUCUGACUCCAAUAUUUACGGCUAGCUGACUGAAAUUGACUGCUUUCUAAUACCAUUGGUUGGUUUGGGCAAAUUCAAUUCUUUGACUCAUUUCUUUACCGCCUCGAAAAACAUGCUGAUGCUCGAACCCCCCGCCGCGGCCGUCCUUCUCUCCCGCCGUAGCUUCGAUCCCAUCAUUCCUCGUUGCCUUCCUCACUCGGCUACCUUUUUCAUCUCCCGGUAUAAGAAAGCAAAGAAUUUAUUAAAUUUAUGUACUUCCAAGUUUCACAAAUCUUUUUCACGCCUUAUCUUAUCCUUGUACUACCGUGCAAAUUUGGGUUUUGCAGGAACAAGUACAGCAAAUUGAGGAAUCAUUCAUGCCGGGGAAACUCAAGCAGCUGCGCCUCCAGACGAAAUGGGAUUCGAGCGUCCGCAAAAGAGAAGCCCAAUUGUUCUGGUUCUGGUUCUGGUUCAGGGCCCGUGAAACAGAAUGCCAAGCCCCUGAGAUAUCAUCCGUUUGAGGAAAUUGCGGAGUCAGAACUGAAUGCAAAUGGGGAGGCUAGGCUUACC